rnacentral:tRNA from 1 species
GCGCCAUUCCUGCGGUUUUAACCAUCGUUUACACCGAAGAUGUCGGCGGUUCGAGCCCGUCAUCGCCCACCA